CAAUAGCGUAUAUUAAAGUUGUUGCAGUUAAAAAGCUCGUAGUUGGAUUUCUGGUCGGAAGCUCCUGUCCUCUGAUGAGCGUACAAGUGCGUCCUACCAUCCUUCUGUUAACCUUUAAGGCUUUCGCGGCUUUCUAGGGGCUCAGAUACUUUACCUUGAGAAAAUUAGAGUGUUUCAGGCAGGCUAGCGCCGGUAUACAUUAGCAUGGAAUAAUGGAAUAGGACUUUUGCCUCUUCUGUUGGUCAUGAGGCUCGAGUAAUGAUUAAUAGGGAUAGUUGGGGGCAUUAGUACUUAACUGUCAGAGGUGAAAUUCUCGGAUUUGUUAAAGACUAACUUAUGCGAAAGCAUUUGCCAAGGAUGUUUNCAUUAA
rnacentral:rRNA from 1 species